AGCAGGACAGCCACUGAGAUGAUGGGAUCUGUGCUCUGGGACAAUGGGAUUUAGUCAAAAUAUGGGCUGGGAAAUGAGAAUACGACCCCCCCCCCCCUUCAGGGCCCUCUUAUUCCUAUUUUUUCAGGCAUUUUGUAUUUUUGUGGUACAAUAUCACUUGUUGAACUUAAAGAUACCAGCAAAAAGAAUGAAGUCUAAUAUUUCAAAAGUGACUCAACAAAAUUAAUUAUUCCAUUAUUUCCUACCUUUUACUGCAAAUAUUGUCAAAGACAUUUUUGUCAUUUAUCAUGUGAAAGUAGUGUAUCAUAUUUGCAAACUAUUUUACACCUUUGAUCAGUUGUGGAUCCAGCAAAGUUUUUUUUGGGGGGUGCUAACCAAUGGUGAAACCACUAGCCAAGCUCCCCCCCCCCCCGUCUCUGAAAUGGCAUUUCCAGCAUUCUGAGAAAACAUUCUAGAAAAUUUUUAGAUUCUCAAAACAAGAUUUCAAAU